AGUGAACGCUGGCGGUAGGCCUAACACAUGCAAGUCGAACGGCAGCACAGUAAGAGCUUGCUCUUACGGGUGGCGGGUGGCGGACGGGUGAGGAAUACAUCGGAAUCUACUUUUUCGUGGGGGAUAACGUAGGGAAACUUACGCUAAUACCGCAUACGACCUACGGGUGAAAGCAGGGGAUCUUCGGACCUUGCGCGAUUGAAUGAGCCGAUGUCGGAUUAGCUAGUUGGCGGGGUAAAGGCCCACCAAGGCGACGAUCCGUAGCUGGUCUGAGAGGAUGAUCAGCCACACUGGAACUGAGACACGGUCCAGACUCCUACGGGAGGCAGCAGUGGGGAAUAUUGGACAAUGGGCGCAAGCCUGAUCCAGCCAUACCGCGUGGGUGAAGAAGGCCUUCGGGUUGUAAAGCCCUUUUGUUGGGAAAGAAAAGCAGCAGGUUAAUACCCCGCUGUUCUGACGGUACCCAAAGAGUAAGCACCGGCUAACUUCGUG
rnacentral:rRNA from 1 species